GUGUCGGGGUACCCUCCGGGGCUACUGUUGGGGGGUCCAAUGUCCGCAUGGCAAUUGGGGCCGCUUCGCAUAUGGCUUCUUCGCGCGCUGAUGCCAUAAAGACUCAUCAUAACGAUUCCUAAAUGGUUCGUCAGUGUCGCAUUUACGGUCGUGUAGUAGAACCUCUUAAAGGUAAUUGCGUUGUAGCAUUCCAGUAAGAUCUUUACUCUUUUCGCAAUUUUUCCCAACAGAUUUCCAUAAAGAUGAAGUAAGGUCUUAGGUCGUGAGCUGGGUCUGUCCACAGAAUUACUGGAAAGUCACCCGUUUCCUGGUCCUGGUUAUAUAUUUAUAUUUAGUUAUAUUAUUAUUCUUAAAACCCAGAGGUCUUCUUAACUUUUCAGGGGAUUGAUUGAUGAUACUUGUUGAUUAAUCGAUGAAGAAUACCAAUACAUGGAUAAGUGGAGGGGCAGCUCGGGAGCAAACGAACCAUAGAAAGGACCUUGCGUGGUCUAGCUGCAUCCAGCCAGAUACUAGUAGAGCCAAAAACAUUGUUUUGACCAGUACUAUCAUAUUUUGGUUGCAGGUUUUCACUAAAUACCAAGGUGUGGUAGCUAUUAUUCCGUGUUUUUCUUGCUUUUAACACUACGGGCUGAUCCUACGAGCUACGACAGUUUUACCUACAGAUGUUUAGCCGUUUCGUGCUGCAACUAGUAGUCUAUUUUCUAGGAUGUAAUGCCUAAAAUUGGAAUUCAGCUAUCAGAGAUUAGCAAAAUUCAAGCAGAAACUCUAGAUGGCGUUUUUGUGCGUUUAUGAUGAAGAUUAUGAGUGUCAAGUUAAAUGGGUGUUUGUUACGUUACGCUGUUAUGUGUUUCAAAGGAUUGUUCGGCAAAAAAUUUACGAUUGCUUUUUGUUUGUGUUGGUGUUUCGCCUUGUUAGCUAUGCCAGCUGCUGAACCAGCAGCCUGCAUUCCUGCUAUCAAUGUACCACAAGAGAUCCUGACACUUUGAGAAGGCCACUAUUUCUUACAUGAAGAUCACCAUUCAGUUCAAGUACUGUUAAUGGACCUCAAGCCUUUUGUUUAAGCUUAGUGAUGUGUUCUCUCGUCAGUCAAUGACAGAGUCUUCACCUACUUUGUGUUGCUAACCAUCCACCCUCAGCAUCCCAGGUAUCCAGAUUUCCAAGUUUCUCUGAUUAGCCAACCAUCAUCCAAACCCUUCAGCUCUUCAAUUCUGUGGCUUCUCUUCCUCUCUUCUUAAUCUGCUGAAUGCCAACAUUGAAUAAGAUUCAUCAUCAUUGCCUUUCCAUGCCAGCUCACAUGGAUAGGCUUUAACAACAUCUCCAUUUUUUGGACUUCAAAUAUUCAUCUUUCUUCGGUACGACACUGCCGUUUUGACAAUUUCGGUAGUUUCGCCCUCAGUGGACCACACGCAACUACAUUUUCUUCGUCUUCCUGUCGUUGUUGUCUACGACUUCACCUCAUCGCUGUCUUCGUUGAUGUCUUCGCCUUCAUCUU